UCUGUUCUUCUCGUUAAUACCUGGGACGGAAACGAUUCGUUUCCUCUAUGUAUUAAUCGGAUUUUUGAACUUGGAGUAUGGUGCUGGAGCUUGCUCCACCCUGCUCACGGGUUGUCCUGGUAUUGCAGUACCUCCAGGUUCGGCUCACGUUUC
rnacentral:snRNA from 1 species